AAAAUGCAGGCUUUCGUGUUACAAAAAAAACACUACUGCUUACGAGCAUUUGCUGAAAGAAAAUCAGUGUUUAACUAUUCGUAAUCCUUCUCUUGGAGAAAACCGUCAGAAAGUGAAAUACGUUCAUAGUUCGUUCAAGAUAAAUCUAAAUGAGAACACCAUUGUCGAGCAAUCUGCCGAACCUGUUGGUGCUGAAUGGGGAUUUGAUUUUUCUCCAUUUGAGUCAGUUGUUGAAGACCCUGAUAAUGACGGCAAGUCAUUCAAAAGCCCUAUUGACGUUAUCGGUUUUGUGGUGAAGUGUCUUCCGUCAGAGGAGAAGACUGAAAAUAAUAACGGGAAAGAUGAGAAGAAGGCUACCUUUAUUCUGGAGGAUUUGCAACACCAGCAGAUUUACGUUACUCUGUGGGGGGUUUAUGCUGAUCAGAUUAUUGAAUUUCAAAGAGAACAUAAGGAUGAAAAAAAUGUUGUUGUGGUUGUUCAGUUUGGCAAGUACCGUUUUUGGGGAGGAAAUUUGUUCGUAUCCAAUUUGUAUACUGUAACUCGAGUGUUCAUAAACACUGAAAUUCCCGAGAUUUUGGAAUUUAAAAGAAG